rnacentral:rRNA from 1 species
AGAGUUUGAUCCUGGCUCAGAUUGAACGCUGGCGGAAUGCUUUACACAUGCAAGUCGAACGGCAGCACGGGAGCUUGCUCCUGGUGGCGAGUGGCGAACGGGUGAGUAACAUAUCGGAACAUAUCCUAUCGUGGGGGAUAACUAGUCGAAAGACUAGCUAAUACCGCAUACGUCUUGAGGGAGAAAGCGGGGGCUCGCAAGACCUCGCGCGAUUGGAGUGGCCGAUAUCUGAUUAGCUAGAUGGUGAGGUAAAAGCUCACCAUGGCGACGAUCAGUAGCUGGUCUGAGAGGAUGAUCAGCCACACUGGGACUGAGACACGGCCCAGACUCCUACGGGAGGCAGCAGUGGGGAAUUUUGGACAAUGGGCGAAAGCCUGAUCCAGCCAUUCCGCGUGAGUGAAGAAGGCCUUCGGG